rnacentral:ncRNA from 1 species
AUAAAUUUAAUAUAAUUGAAACUGAUUUUUUAAAAAAUUUAAUUUUUGUUUUAAAAUUAAUUGAAAAAUGAUAAUAAUAAAUAACUUUUUAUAUUUAAAUAAUUGAUAGAAAAUUAAUAUUUAUAUUUAAAUAAUUAAUGAGAAUUAUAUUUAGAUAUUUUUGAUAAAAAUUGGUUAAUUUAGUGCCAGCCACAGCGGUUAAACUAAAAUUGUAAGUUAAUUUGUUCAAUAAAUAAUAAAAUAAAUUUUUAAUUUUAUAUGUAUGUAUAAUAUACUUACAUAUAUUUUGUAUUUAAAAUAUAUUUUUUAUGGUGAAAUGUAAAAAAUUUAAUAUAAGUAUAUAUAAAAAAAAUUUAAUUAAAAAAUUUAUGUGUUAAACUAGGAUUAGAUACCCUAUUAUAAUAAAAUAUAUGAAAUUAUAUUAAAGUAUUAAAUGAUAAAUCAUUAAAUUUAUGAGAUUUGGCGGUAUUUUAUUCCAGUCAGGGGAACUUGUUAAUUAAAAUGAUGAUCCACGAUAAGAAUUACUUAAUUUAAUAUUUGUGUAUUGCUGUUUUUAGAUAUGUUUUAAGCACAUAGUUUAAAUUUAUUUUGGUAAAGUAAUUCAAGUCAAAAUAUAGUUUAGUUAAGAUUUAAUGAGUUACAAUAAUUUAUAAUUAUUUACGAAUUUUAAAAUUUAAAUUUUUAGAUGAAGGUGGACUUGAGAGUAAAAUUAAUUAAUUAAUUAAUUUGAAAAUUGGUUUUGAAAUAUGUACAAAUCGCCCGUCACUUCCAAUAAAAUGGAAUAAGUCGUAACAAAGUUUAGAUACCGGAAGGUGUUUAUAGAUU